UCAAAGUGCUGUACAGAAACCCAGCCUAAAACCCCAAACAGCAAGCAAAGCAUGUGAAAGAAGCACGGUGGCUAGGAAAAACUCCCUAGGAAAAACUCCCUAGAAAGGCCAAAAACCUAGGAAGAAACCUAGAGAGGAACCAGGCUAUGAGGGGUGGCCAGUCCUCUUCUGGCUGUGCAGGGUGGAUAUUAUAACAGAACAUGGUCAAGAUGUUAAAAUGUUAAAAUGUUCAUAAAUGACCAGCAUGGUCAAAUAAUAAUAAUCAUAGUAGUUGUCGAGGGUGCAACAAGCACGUCCGGUGAACAGGUCAGGGUUCCAUAGCUGCAGGCAGAACAGUUGAAACCGGAGCAGCAGCACGGCCAGGUGGACUGGGGACAGCAAGGAGUCAUCAUACCAGGUAGUCCUGAGGCAUGGUCCUAGGGCUCAGGUCCUCCGAGAGAAAGACAGAAAGAGAGAAAGAGAGAAUUAGAGAGAGCAUAUUUAAAUACACACAGGACACCGGAUAAGACAAGAGAAAUACUCCAGAUGUAACAGACUGACCCUAGCCC
rnacentral:lncRNA from 1 species